ACGAACGCUGGCGGCAGGCUUAACACAUGCAAGUCGAACGCCCCGCAAGGGGAGUGGCAGACGGGUGAGUAACGCGUGGGAACAUGCCCAAAGGUACGGAACAACUCCGGGAAACUGGAGCUAAUACCGUAUGUGCCCGAAAGGGGAAAGAUUUAUCGCCUUUGGAUUGGCCCGCGUCGGAUUAGCUAGUUGGUGGGGUAAAAGCCUACCAAGGCGACGAUCCGUAGCUGGUCUGAGAGGACGACCAGCCACACUGGGACUGAGACACGGCCCAGACUCCUACGGGAGGCAGCAGUGGGGAAUCUUGGACAAUGGGCGCAAGCCUGAUCCAGCCAUGCCGCGUGGAUGAUGAAGGCCUUAGGGUUGUAAAAUCCUUUCGCCGAGGACGAUAAUGACGGUACUCGGAGAAGAAGCUCCGGCUAACUUCGU
rnacentral:rRNA from 1 species